UGGGGAAUUUUGGACAAUGGGCGCAAGCCUGAUCCAGCAACGCUGCGUGAAGGACGAAGGUCUUCGGAUUGUAAACUUCUUUUGCAGGGGACGAAUGUCCGGGCAACCGGAUUUGACGGUACUCUGCGAAUAAGCCACGGCUAACUACGUGCCAGCAGCCGCGGUAAGACGUAGGUGGCGAGCGUUACUCGGAAUCACUAGGCGUAAAGCGCGUGUAGGCGGGCAGUUAAGUCCAACGUUAAAUCUCCCGGCUCAACCGGGAACUGUCGUUGGAUACUGGCUGUCUUGAGUGAUGCAGGGGAAACUGGAAUUCCCGGUGUAGCAGUGAAAUGCGUAGAGAUCGGGAGGAACACCAGUGGCGAAGGCGGGUUUCUGGGCAUCCACUGACGCUGAAGCGCGAAAGCUAGGGGAGCAAACA
rnacentral:rRNA from 1 species